rnacentral:lncRNA from 1 species
GUUGAAGGCAAAGGCACUCAUUUUCCCUCUCCUCCCCCACCCCCCAACUAGGGGGUGGAGGAGUAAGGGAGCCUUAGUACUGAAAGUGCUGAACUCUAAAUGUAGAGGGGGAGCUUCAGAACGGCUCUCAACAACAUGUGACAGGGUUGUCAGAAAUGGGUCUGCACCCCAUCGCCUAAACACCAAUGGCUUGGAGAUCAAUCAGCUUUCUACUUAAUUUAAGGUUCCAAAGAAGUUGGGUUUCCAAGGAAAUAUGCUCUUAAUGCUAUAGGAUGAAUUUUAGAAACAAAUGGAAUUUAAAUGAAUGUUGGGUGUGAACAUCGUUCAAGUUUGAAUUGUAUUCAUAAGAUGGACAAAAUAAUUCUUCUGCUGUUCUGGUUUGAAUACAUUUUUCAGAUUUCUAAGAGUUUAUAUUGUGGGCCAAUACAAAAGCAACCUGCAACCAUUUUUGCUGAAUGGAGUGAAUUUCCUAAAGGAGAAAAGCCUCAACAUUAUUUUUUAAAAUAUCAACCAACCAAAGACUUCAAUAAAAAAAAUGUCAAAAACAUUUCUGCAGAACAACACAAGCUUCAGAAAUCUACAAUAACAAUAGAGGAAAAUGAAGAAUAUAACGUCAUUAUACAGUCAGUACGAAAUGGGGAAAUUUUAAGUGCAAAAUCCUUCAGGACAUGUGGGAUCUCAAAUAACAACAUUAAAGUCCUUGUGACAAGUACAAGUGUUUCUUUUAACUGGACUACACUGCCCCAUGACUUUUCAGUUUCAAUAUCUCUUAAUAAUUCAUCUCAAAGCAUACAAAACAAUGUAAUGUUUUAUGAAUGGGGCCAUUUGGAACCUUCAACCUCAUACAUUUUCAAAUUUGAAUUUAAACAGCUGCACUUGGAUUUUGUAAAUGUGUUUCAGAGGCUGGAUAUUCAUGUUGAAACAGGGUCCUGCCCACCAGAAUGGGUUGCAUUAAAAAGUAAUUGCUAUAGAAUUAGCAAAGACAGCCAGCCAUGGAAUGUGGCACAGAAAAUCUGUAAUAUACCUUUGCAUUCAGCACAUCUUGUUGAUAUAAAAAAUGAAGAGGAAAAGAAAUUUAUAUAUUCUUAUCUCAGGAAAGCCAACCAAAUAAUAAGUUGGACUGGUCUUAAUGAUAUAAAGGUCAGUAUAUGCAUUAUUUUUCAUACCUGGCAAUAUUUGAUAUAGUCAGUAUCUACUUUGAGAGGCAUCAGGG